ensembl:lncRNA
CUCCACGCAGUGUUUCAGUAUCAGCUAUUGGGACAGAAAACCUGACCGUGUGCUGGGAGAAGCCUCGUGACGAUGAGGUUGAUGCAUAUCACAUCCAGCUACGGCAACACACUCCACGUCAGGGGCGCUCCCGAGAAUUCUUUGUGAAUAGCUCAGACUGUAUAACGUUGACGACGCUUGUGCCUGGUGAAACGUAUGAUGUGGGUGUGGCUACAGAAAGGGGCGGGAACAGGAGCCUGGAGAAAACCUUACAACUGACAUUAAAGCCACAGAUGGUCCGAGAUGCCGUCCCGUAUGCUGUGGACACGGACUCCGUGGUCCUGUUUGUACAGAUGCCCACUAGUGGUGUUUAUGAUGGCCUCGCUGUAGCUUCCAGCAGGAACCGCACCUGGAUUCCGAUGUCCAGCGGGACGAGUAAAGCUGUGGUGGCGAAUCUGAGUCCAGGAAUGGCGUAUGAUUUCCAGCUGUUUGUCACCAG